rnacentral:rRNA from 1 species
AGAGGCAUCUUCUGGAGGGGCCCAGCCUAUGUGCCUUGGAACAGGACGUCAUAGAGGGUGAGAAUCCCGUACUUGGCUGGAUGUUCCCUCCAGUAUGUAGUGUCUUCUACGAGUCGAGUUGUUUGGGAAUGCAGCUCAAAAUGGGUGGUAAAUUUCAUCUAAAGCUAAAUAUUGGCGAGAGACCGAUAGCGCACAAGUAGAGUGAUCGAAAGAUGAAAAGCACUUUGAAAAUAGAGUCAAACAGUACGUGAAAUUGUUGAAGGGGAAGCGCUUAGGACCAGACCUGGCCUUUGGUGAACAAUCGCCCACCGGGGCGGUGUACUUUGUCUUGGUCGGGCCAGCAUGGGUUGGGACGGUGGGAUAAAGGCUCGGGAAAUGUGACUCCUUUAUGGAGUGUUAUAGUCCCGGGUGGCAUGCCAUCAGUCCCGACUGUGGAACGCGCACCGGCACGGAUGCUGGCAUAAUGGUCUUCA